AUCACGAGAUUAUGGUGGAAUCUAGUAUUGUGGUUUGGCUUCAGAAGGCACUGGAGGUUUAUUUGAGAGGGGAGAAUAAGGAGGUCUAUGGCACCGUUAGAGAAGGUUACCACAGAUUUUUAGCUUAGAAGUGCAUAAAAUCUCGAGGUCGUUAUGUGGUGGUUACUGAAUAUGGUGAGGA